rnacentral:snRNA from 1 species
UACGCUUCUCGGCCUUUGUAAGAUCAGUGUAGUAUGUUCUUAUCAGUUUAAUAUCUGAUACGUCCUCUAUCCGAGGACAAUAUAUUAAAUGGAUUUUUGGAGCAGGGAGAUGGAAUAGGAGCUUGCUCCGUCCACUCCGCGCAUCGACCUGGUAUUGCAGUACCUCCAGGAACGGUGCACCCCCU